CGGUCAAGUUGGCGAACCCGCGUAAAGCGUUGUUCAAUCCGUACAUCUAGUGUGCGUGUCCAUCUGUACGCAUGUGUACGUGUUUGUGUAUCCUGUCGUCACGCCAGGUAUUACUCCGCGACGCCAUUUGACCACGCAGAGCGACCACACCGAAAGCGGCCAGACGGAAUCGGAACAGUCGGGAGGACGAGACAACACGAGGUCCAGAUAGUCGGGGUGCUGGCCCUUCUUACGUCGUGUCGGUUUUGCUUUGCGCUCUGCUCUCUCGCUCUCUCCCGCUCGCCACGCUCGUCUCUCUAGACCCUUCCGCUGGUGGGGGAUGAGUCUGGCUUUGGCUUCUGCUGCCUGUGUGGGCCUCCGGUUGUGAAAAUCGUGUCGUGCACGUGCUGGGCCGCCGUUGCUGCGCUGGAAAACUAUCCGAAACGUUGGGCAGUGCGUUCGGGCACGCAAGGCAACCGAAACCAGCUGGUGGUAUGUGAGUUAGAUGGUAUUAUUUUGGUGUAGAAAAAUGCACUCCACAAAUAUGUUUUUCACUCCGUAAUGGCCGACCUCACAACCAAGGUCAGUAUAGCAUGCGGGUUGGAUCGUCCCAAUGCCGCCUGACAGCUGCACAGUGGGAGAGUGCGCGCUACGGUAUCUGACAGGUUGGAUCGUUGGCAAUGAGAGGCAAUUUCGUAU